AACGAAUGCUUGGCGGCGUGGAUUAGGCAUGCAAGUCGAGCGAGAAAGGGGUAGCAAUACCCUGAGUAAAGUGGCGAACUGGUGAGUAACAGGUGGGUAACGCACCCCGAUGUGGGGGAUAACUCCGGGAAACCGGGGAUAAUACCGCAUAAGGCCGAAUGGGUUUAGGCCUUCCUGGUCAAAGAAGUGAUUCGCUUUGGGAUCGGCCCGCCCCCGAUUAGCUUGUUGGUGAGGUAACGGCUUACCAUGGCUACUAUCGGUAGCUGGUCUGAGAGGAUGGUCAGCCACACUGGGACUGAGAUACGGCCCAGACUCCUACGGGAGGCAGCAGUCUAGGAGCUUCGGCAAUGGGCGAAAGCCUGACCGAGCGACGCCGCGUGUGGGAUUGAAGGUGUUUUCAUCGUAAACCACUGUCCUGGGGGAGGAAUGCCCUGAUGGUGAAUCAGGGAGUGACGUCACCCCAGAAGAAAGCCCCGGCUAACUACGUGCCAGCAGCCGCGGUAAUACGUAGGGGGCAAGCGUUGUUCGGAUUUACUGGGCGUAAAGAGUGCGUAGGCGGUUCGAUAAGUCUGACGUGAAAUCUGCACCGCUUAACGGGCAGAGGUCACUGGAAACUGGUUAACUUGAGUAGGGUAGAGGCAAGCGGAAUUCUUGGUGGAGCGGUGGAAUGUGUAGAUAUCAGGAAGAACACCGGUGGCGAAGGCGGCUUGCUGGGCCCUUGCUGACGCUGAGACUCGAAAGCGUGGGGAGCGAACGGGAUUAGAUACCCCGGUAGUCCACGCUGUAAACGGUGCGCACUAGGUGUGAGGGGUAUCGACCCCCCUUGUGCCGCAGCUAACGCAAUAAGUGCGCCGCCUGGGGAGUACGGCCGCAAGGUUGAAACUCAAAGGAAUUGACGGGGGCCCGCACAAGCGGUGGAGGAUGUUGUUUAAUUCGAUGCAACGCGAAGAACCUUACCUGGGCUUAAACUUGUAGGUAAACCCCUGGAAACAGGGGCUGUGGCAACACGACCUAUGAGAGGUGCUGCAUGGCUGUCGUCAGCUCGUGUCGUGAGAUGUUGGGUUAAGUCCCGCAACGAGCGCAACCCUUGUCGCUAGUUACCAUCAUUCAGUUGGGGACUCUAAGGAGACUGCCUGUGACAAGCAGGAGGAAGGUGGGGACGACGUCAAGUCAUCACGGCCCUUACGUCCAGGGCUACAAACGUCCUACAAUGGCUGAGACAACGGGUCGCGAAAUCGCAAGGUGAAGCUAAUCCCUCAAACUCGGCCACUCAGUUCAGAUUGG
rnacentral:rRNA from 1 species